rfam:Triticum aestivum genome assembly, contig: Triticum_aestivum_CS42_TGACv1_scaffold_129919_2BL
UUUGUACUCCCUCCAUCCAGAAAUACUUGUUAUUUUAAUGGAUGUAUCUAGAUGUAUUUUAGUUCUAGACACAUCCAUUUUGAUGACAAGUAAUUUCGGACGGAGGGAGUACUUG